UCCCUGGUGGUCUAGUGGUUGGGAUUCGGUGCUUUUACCACUGUGGCCCGGGUUCAAUCCCUGGUCUGGGAA
rnacentral:tRNA from 1 species